AUUGAACGCUGGCGGCAUGCUUUACACAUGCAAGUCGAGCGGCAGCGCGGGGGCAACCCUGGCGGCGAGCGGCGAACGGGUGAGUAAUACAUCGGAACGUACCCAGGAGUGGGGGAUAGCCCGGCGAAAGCCGGAUUAAUACCGCAUACGAUCUUAGGAUGAAAGCGGGGGAUCGCAAGACCUCGCGCUUUUGGAGCGGCCGAUGUCCGAUUAGCUAGUUGGUGGGGUAAAGGCCACCAAGGCGACGAUCGGUAGCUGGUCUGAGAGGAUGAUCAGCCACACUGGGACUGAGACACGGCCCAGACUCCUACGGGAGGCAGCAGUGGGGAAUAUUGGACAAUGGGCGCAAGCCUGAUCCAGCCAUGCCGCGUGAGUGAUGAAGGCCCUAGGGUUGUAAAGCUCUUUUGUGCGGGAAGAUAAUGACGGUACCGCAAGAAUAAGCCCCGGCUAACUUCGUGCCAGCCGCCGCUGUAAC
rnacentral:rRNA from 1 species